AGAGGGUGCGAGCGUUAAUCGGAGUUACUGGGCGUAAAGGGCGCGUAGGCGGUUAUAUGAGUGUGAUGUGAAAGCCCUGGGCUUAACCUAGGAAGUGCAUCGCAAACGAUAUAACUGGAGUAUAUGAGAGGGUGGCGGAAUUUCCGGUGUAGCGGUGAAAUGCGUAGAUAUCGGAAGGAACGUCAAUGGCGAAGGCAGCCACCUGGCAUAAUACUGACGCUGAGGCGCGAAAGCGUGGGGAGCGAACAGGAUUAGAUACCCUGGUAGUCCACGCUGUAAACGAUGAGGACUAAAGGUUGGUAGGGGAACCUAUCAGUCUUGAAGCUAACGCGAUAAGUCUUCCGCCUGGGAAGUACGGCCGCAAGG
rnacentral:rRNA from 1 species